UUUUUCUUCCGGAUCGGAGGUCAAACGGAGUCCGUUCGUCCUCAAAUUUUAGUAUGUUGUUCAUGAGACUCUCCUCUACAAGUACACGAAACAGUUUUUCAUUUUGAGUCCCGGAAGGUCGGUUUUUGCUGCGUUUUUUACAGCCCUGCGAUUUUGGUAUUUUUCUCUAUUUUGGUGAAAUUGUUGGCUGUUGGUUGUUGUUUGAUGAUUGUAUUUGCNNNN
rnacentral:lncRNA from 1 species